rnacentral:rRNA from 1 species
AGGAGGUGGCACAGAAGAGGGGGUAGCGACUGUUUACUAAAAACAUAGCACUAUGCAAAGUCGAGAGACGACGUAUAUGGUGUGACGCCUGCCCGGUGCCGGAAGGUUAAUAGGAGGGGUGCAAGCUCCGAAUUGAAGCCCCGGUGAACGGCGGCCGUAACUAUAACGGUCCUAAGGUAGCGAAAUUCCUUGUCGGGUAAGUUCCGACCUGCACGAAUGGCGUAACGAUUUCCCCACUGUCUCCAACAUAGACUCAGUGAAAUUGAAUUCUCGGUUAAGAUGCCGAGUAACCGUGGUUAGACGGAAAGACCCCGUGCACCUUUACUGCAGCUUUGUAUUGGUAUUAGGGGACAGAUGUGUAGCAUAGGUGGGAGACUUUGAAGGACUGGCGCUAGCCAGUCUGGAGUCACCAGUGAAAUACCACUCUUCUGUUCCUUGAUGCCUAACCAUACACCGUUAUCCGGUGUUGGGACCAUGCAUGGUGGGCAGUUUGACUGGGGCGGUCGCCUCCCAAAGAGUAACGGAGGCGCGCGAUGGUAGGCUCAGAACGCUUGGAAACCGUUCGUCGAGUGCAAUGGCAUAAGCCUGCCUGACUGCGAGACCCACAAGUCGAGCAGAGACGAAAGUCGGUCAUAGUGAUCCGGUGGCACUUCGUGGAAGGGCCAUCGCUCAACGGAUAAAAGGUACGCCGGGGAUAACAGGCUGAUCUCUCCCAAGAGUCCAUAUCGACGGGGAGGUUUGGCACCUCGAUGUCGGCUCAUCGCAUCCUGGGGCUGAAGCAGGUCCCAAGGGUUUGGCUGUUCGCCAAUUAAAGCGGUACGCGAGCUGGGUUUAGAACGUCGUGAGACAGUUCGGUCCCUAUCUGCCAUGGUUGUGGAAGCUUGAGAGGAUCUGCCCUUAGUACGAGAGGACCGGGGUGGACGUACCUCUGGUGUACCUAUUGUAGCGCCAGCUGCAUCGUAGGGUAGCUAUGUACGGAAUGGAUAACCGCUGAAAGCAUCUAAGCGGGAAGCCAACCUCAAAACUAGGCUUCGUUAUAGGAUCGUGGAAGACUACCACGUUGAUAGGCUGG